UACGUAGGGCGCAAGCGUUAUCCGGAAUUAUUGGGCGUAAAGAGCUCGUAGGCGGUUUGUCGCGUCUGCCGUGAAAGUCCGGGGCUCAACUCCGGAUCUGCGGUGGGUACGGGGCAGACUAGAGUGAUGUAGGGGAGACUGGAAUUCCUGGUGUAGCGGUGAAAUGCGCAGAUAUCAGGAGGAACACCGGUGGCGAAGGCGGGUCUCUGGGCCGUAACUGACGCUGAGGAGCGAAAGCAUGGGGGAGCGAACAGG
rnacentral:rRNA from 1 species